UGAGGAAUUUUGCGCAAUGGGAGCAAUCCUGACGCAGCAACGCCGCGUGGGUGAUGAAGGCCUUCGGGUCGUAAAGCCCUGUCAGGUGGGAAGAAUGUCCCGGGACUGAACAGGUUCCGGGAGUGACGGUACCACCAGAGGAAGCACCGGCUAACUCCGUGCCAGCAGCCGCGGUAAUCCGGAGGGUGCAAGAGUUAUUCGGAAUUACUGGGCGUAAAGCGCGUGUAGGCGGUCCUGCAAGUCUGAGGUGAAAGCCCCGGGCUUAACCCGGGAAGUGCAUUGGAAACUGUGGGACUUGAGUACGGGAGAGGAUGGGGGAAUUCCCGGUGUAGAGGUGAAAUUCGUAGAGAUCGGGAGGAAUAUCAGUGGCGAAGGCGCCCAUCUGGACGGUAACUGACGCUGAGACGCGAAAGCGUGGGGAGCAAACA
rnacentral:rRNA from 1 species